rnacentral:rRNA from 1 species
GAUCAUGGCUCAGAUUGAACGCUGGCGGCAGGCUUAACACAUGCAAGUCGAGCGGUAGCACAGGGGAGCUUGCUCCCUGGGUGACGAGCGGCGGACGGGUGAGUAAUGUCUGGGAAACUGCCUGAUGGAGGGGGAUAACUACUGGAAACGGUAGCUAAUACCGCAUAACGUCGCAAGACCAAAGAGGGGGACCUUCGGGCCUCUUGCCAUCAGAUGUGCCCAGAUGGGAUUAGCUAG